ensembl:lncRNA
GGGAUCAAUCCCUGGGUUGGGAAGAUCCCCUGAAGGAGGGCAUGGCAACCCACUCCAGUAUUCUUGCCUGGAGAAUCCCCAAGGACAGAGGAGCCUGGUGGGCUACUGUCCAUGGGGUUGCAAACAGUCGGACAUGACUGAGCAACUAAGCACAGCAAGACAGAGGGGACUGCACGUGCAAAGGCUCUGAGUCUCCACUCUUUACUGUAAGGAAACCGUAGUCAUGUACAGUUAUGAGAGUUGGACCAUUAAGAAUGAUGAGCACUGAAGAAUUGAUGCUUUUGAAUUGUGGUGCUGGAGGAGACUCUUGAAAGCCCCUUGGACUGCAAGGAGAUAAAACCAGUCAAUCCUAAAGGAAAUCAACUCUGAAUAUUUCCUGGAAGGACUGAUGCUGAAACUGAUGCUCUAAUAUUUUGGCCAUCUGAUGCAAAGAGCCGAUUCAUUGGAAAAGACCCUGAUGCUGGGAAAGACUGAAGGCCAAAGAAGAGGGUGGCAGAGGAUGAUAUGAUUAUAUAACGUCACUGACUCAAUGGACAUGAAUUUGAGCAUAGUAUAUUGAAAAACGGGGACGCCUGUCUCUGGAAAGCCCAGCUCUCAAGCAGGCCUCUGCCUUGCUUAUAUG